AUUUUCUGGGAGCAGAAACUGGUGUGACAUCAGUAUUAUACACCUCAGUUUGGAAAGGUUGUGUUCUAAGGAGCCUGCAAAGUUGGUAAGAAUGCAGGUGUGGGGACUGCUCACUGGUUGAAGGCAACGGAAAAGAGAUUUCUUGAAAAUGAACAAACCAGCAUGAAUUUGUGAGCCAUUUCAGUGCUGCUAAAUCUGCAUUUUCCACUGAAAAAAAGGGUUUGGUCAGUUUUCUUUCACAGCUGUAGGAUCAACCUGCAACAGAGAAGACUCCUACAGGAGAUGAGGAGACUGUGUUUCAUCUUCAGUUUGGUGCUGCCAAUGACAUCCAGACUCUGAACCCAAGCUAUUCCCAGCCUGGCACCAGGACCAUCAGCUACACUUCAAAGGAGAUGCACCACAGGCAGCUGCAGGUCUGAGCCACCUGCACGAGGUCAGCAGCCUCUCUUCUCUCCCUGAGAAAGCAUUGAGCUGGCAACCCAGUGGCUCAGCAAGAGGCAGAAGCCGAGCUGGGCUCUUCCUGUAAAGGACUAGAGAGAGGAACAUUCUUCCCUUCAUCAGGCACAUCUUCUCCAGCACAGCCCCUGAUACACAGGCAAAACUGCUGCCCCCUGGCUACUCAACUGUGACAGAAUUAAAAAAAGUGAA